rnacentral:rRNA from 1 species
AGGGAAUAUUGCACAAUGGAGGAAACUCUGAUGCAGCGACGCCGCGUGAGUGAUGAAGGCCCUUGGGUUGUAAAGCUCUGUUCUAUGGGAAUAAGUUCUGAAGGUACCAUAGAAGAAAGGACCGGCUAACUUCGUGCCAGCAGCCGCGGUAAUACGAGGGGUCCUAGCGUUGUUCGGAAUCAUUGGGCGUAAAGCGGGUGUAGGUGGAUUUUUAAGUCAGAAGUGAAAGCCCUGGGCUCAACCCAGGAAGUGCUUUUGAUACUAUUGAUCUUGAGUGUGGGAGAGGAUAGCAGAAUUUCUGGUGUAGUGGUGAAAUACGUAGAUAUCAGAAGGAAUAUCGGUGGGGAAGC